rnacentral:rRNA from 1 species
UACGUAGGGUGCGAGCGUUGUCCGGAAUUAUUGGGCGUAAAGAGCUCGUAGGCGGUGUGUCACGUCGGCCGUGAAAACCUGCAGCUUAACUGUGGGCGUGCGGUCGAUACGGGCAUCACUGGAGUUCGGCAGGGGAGACUGGAAUUCCUGGUGUAGCGGUGAAAUGCGUAGAUAUCAGCAGGAACACCCGUGGCGAAGGCGGCUUCCUGGGCCGCCCCUGACGCUGAGGCGCGAAAGCGUGGGGAGCGAACGGG